GGAGAAUCUAGGUGCGCAGGAGAUGCCAGGAGAUGCAGAACACGUUGGACUUACAGAAAUGGAGAAGAGGUGAAUUGGGAAGGGGUGUUGAAGGACUUGAAGAGAGAGACCUCAGAGUCUGCCUGGUGUUGGAGGCAGUCUUGGCGAAGAAACCUCAUCUCUUUCAUCAGCUGCCCAUAAGGCUGAUGCAAUGUGGCCAGCCAGCCUCCUGCUCCACCAUGUCCUCCCUGUCUGCUGCCAUGGCUUCCCUGCCAUGAUGGACUAUCAAUCCAUUUUCCUGCAGGCAGCACAGCUUCCUCACCGCAGAGUACUGCUCAUAUUCCUCUUUAUCCCCGACGGCAGUCCGCUUUAUUCAAGCCAUGGUAGAAAGUCCUCCAUACUUAUUCCUUCAGCUGGAGUUCAACAAGCCGGAGCCAGAGCCGGCAUUAGACAGUGGCAGUCUACACAUCGUUACAGCCAUAGGUCAUUUAUUUCCAUAACUGGGUGAGUGUGAAAACAGCCACGAUUAAACAUGUGCGUGCAGAUAUCUCUGUUGUAGUCUACCUUUGAAUCCUUUGGGUAAAUACUUUGAAGAGGUGUAGCCAGAUCAUGUGAUAUUUGGGAAUUAGCGUUUUUCUGAGCCCUGGCAUUAAGACAACAUGCUCACAACCGUCUGUGGUGAUACAUGCCUUUAAUCCCGGCCCUUGGGAGGCAGAGGCAAGGGGAUCCCUGUAAAUUCUAGGCCAGUCUGGUCUAUAUAGUGAGUUCCAGGCUAGCCAGGCAUACAUAGUAAGACCCUGUCACAAAACAAAACAAAUUCACGCAAAACAACAAUUUGUCAAGUCCACCAAAACCGAAGGAGGAGGUAGAGUGCCGCUUAAGAAAUCCAGUUGAAAACUUUCAUUCGGUUUCUGCCCUCUAGUGGACAAAAGGACAAAUGCGCUGUUUGUCUCGGAUCCUGUUCUGUCCUUUUAACUACAGGGAUGAUACAUGCGUAUUUACUACGGUUCUACAAAUAUUCUCUACAAAUUAACCGUGUCGGUUUCACUCCUGACAUCGCUGCCCUGCGUUUUCAGAACAAGUUCCACCCCUGCAUUCUUUCGGCCUCUCAACUCUUCUUCACAGUUCGUAUUUCCACUUUAAAGGACCCCCGGAGGACCCCCCUGGGUCCACCGGAUAAUCCCGAGUAUCCCUUGCCUUAAAGUCAGUUCACUAGCGAGGGUCGUCUUCUGUCUUCGAGUUUAAAGCGCCACACCCAGAGGUGCACCACACUUUCCAUCUUCACGGGUUUGAACUUCAUCUUUCAGUUUGUCUCCACAGAACCGGUACAACCUGAAACCGCCUUCAAGUAAGGAAUAAGAGGCGGGGGUGGGGGUGUGUUGGGGGAGUGGAAUGUUUCCUUUGGUGAAAAGUAAAAGUCUUCCCCACAAAGCUCUCUGGAUUUUUUCAAUGUGUUCUCGUCAGUAAAAUCAAGUCUCUUUCCUAGCCCUGGCUGCUAGUGUGGUUUAAAUAUGCAAAUGUUGGCCAGGUGGUGGUGGUACACCCUGUAAUCCCAGCACUAGGGGGGCAGAGGCGGGUGGA